CGGUUGUGCUGGUCCCGCCGGGCCUUUCCUUCUGGACCCCCCCAUCCCCUUCAGUGGGUGUGUGGGGGAACCAGGACUUUUUCUUUGAAAAAAUUAGAGUGUUCAAAGCAGGCCUUUCUCGAAUAUGUUCGCAUGGAAUAAUAGUAUAGGACGUGCGGUCCUAUUUUUUGGUUUCUAGGACCGCUGUAAUGAUUUAUAGGGAUAGUGGGGGGCAUCAGUAUUCAAUUGUCAGAGGUGAAAUUCUUGGAUUUAUUGAAGACUAACUACUGCGAAAGCAUUUCCCAAGGAUGUUUUCAUUAAUCAGUGAACGAAAGUUAGGGGAUCGAAGACGAUCAGACACCGUCGUUGUUUUAACCGUAAACUAUGCCGACUAGGGAUCGGGCGAUGUUUCUUUCUUGACUCGCUCGGCACCUUACGAGAAAUCAAAGUUUUUGGGUUCUGGGGGGAGUAUGGUCGCAAGGCUGAAACUUAAAGAAAUUGACGGAAGGGCCCCCCCAGGCGUGGAGCCUGCGGUUUAAUUUGACUCAACACGGGGAAACUCACCAGGUCCAGAUGAAAUAAGGAUUGACAGAUUGAGAGCUCUUUCUUGAUUUUUCAGGUGGUGGUGCAUGGCCGUUCUUAGUUGGUGGAGUGAUUUGUCUGCUUAAUUGCGAUAACGAACGAGACCUUAACCUGCUAAAUAGCCAGGCUAGCUUUGGCUGGUCGCCGGCUUCUUAGAGGGACUAUCGG
rnacentral:rRNA from 1 species